GCUUUCUUAAGUAUAAUUUUAAAUUGACACUCAUAAUUGUUCAUAAAUGUUUGAUGUUCUUGAAGAUUCUUUUAAAUUAAUAUAUAUGUAUUUGAUAUGUGUAAACGUAGACUUUAUACACAAGUUGAUAAAGUUAUAUUCAAAUAUUUAUUGGCACAUCUGUAAACGCUGUUCUUGUUUCGUCGUUGUAAAAAGAAUGUCUUGUAUUGAACAAUACAACAAAGUGAUGAUAGAUCUAUAAUUCUUCAUUCAUGUAGCAAUGCUUUUGAGUAAAAGGUAAUUAAAUUAAAAGUUUGCUGUUGCACGAUUCUUGCAAAUGUUUAUGUGAUAUUUAUUUUGGAUAUCUCUGUCGCGCACAAAUAAUUAUUUUGAUAAGAAGUUGUCAUCAGUAUUUCUCUGGGUUUUUGUUUUUAAGUUUAUAUAACACUUAGAAAAACACAUUCUAUUGAUAAACGGAAGUUUUCGGCUUCUCUGGUUGAAGACAGGAACAAAAGUUUAUUUGAUUCCACAAUUUUGUUGUUGUUGUUGUUGUUGACGGCUGUGUCAGCAUAGUUAUAUAUUUUAAACAUCGUAGACGCUUAUUUCAUAUAAUUUUACAUCGAAGAAGGUGUUUAUGGUUAUAUCUGCAUGGUUUUACAUCGAAGAAGGUGUUUAUGGUUAUAUCUGCAUGGUUUUUGUUGUACAUAGUUUGACAUCGUAGAGGCUGACUGUAAUAUUUCUAGUCAGGCGGUGUUUGACUGUACCGGCGAAUUCGCUCGCACCUCUCUGUCUUGGCUGGACGACAAGUGAUCGUUAGACCAAUAUUUUGCAUUUUCGUCCGUUGUCAGAUCGGUUAAUAGAUAUUAUAUACAAUAAACAUAAUUUUGUUUUUUCAGAUAUUUGAACAACAAGACAACUGUCAUAAAAUGCAUAGGAUAAGAAUUCCCAUGAAAGAUGUUCUUAAGUGUACUUCGUUGUGUCCCGCUGUCCAAAAUCGUCGCUUCGACAUCGCUGGUCUUAGGCGCCAAAUCAACCGUUGUCGUAUAACGGAGAAAGAACUCACGGAUGUUUCAUACUUUUAAUAUACAAAUACAAACACACAUGUGUACGAGUGGAAUACCAAAGCCGAACUCCCCCUCUCUCUUACAUUUGAGAAUCGUAUAUAUAAAGACAACCUGUCAUAAGGACAUUUUAUAAUGUAUUUAAAUACACACGUUUUAGAGUUACAUAUAUUAAUCAUUUUGACAUAAGAUCAGUCCGCUUGUAUCCUGAACUAUAAUACUCAUAAAUCAUGUCAUGUUCCAUAGUGCACAUUAUGAAAUAAAAACCUUAAUAUAUGUAUAUACAUGUUGACUUGUCAUUCUUUUUGAAUAUAGCGUGUAUGACUCAUUAGCCUGUGCAAC